CUAAUUUUUAAAUUCUUUGUAGAGAUGGAGUCUUGAUAUGUUGCCCAGGCUGGUCUCUAACUUUUGGGCUCAAGCGAUCCUCCUGCCUUGACCUGGGAGGCCUGGGAGUCUGGGUGUAGUCGUUCAUAUGAACCAUGGAGCCUGGCACAUUCUUUUUUUUUUUUUUUUUUUUGGAGACAGUUUCACAUUGUCACCCAGGCUGGAGUGCAGUGGUGCCAUCUUGGUUCACUGAUUGCAACCUCUCUCUCCUGGGCUCAAGUGAUUCCCACUUCAGCCUCCCGAAUAGCUGGAGUUAAGGCACUCACCAUCAAACCUGGGUAAUUUAUGUUAUUUUUUUUGUAGAGAUGGGGGUUUUGCCAUGUUGCCCAGGCUGGUCUUGAAUUCCUGAGCUCAAGUGAUCCACUUGCCUUGGCCUCCCAAAGUGCUGGGAUUACUGGCGUGAGCAUUACUGCACCUGGCCCACAUUCUUACAGUUCAGGAGCUUUUAGUGUAUUUUGGCUCUGUAGUCAUUAUCAGACAUAGAAGAGGCAAGAAUUUGGGCUACAAGGGCUGGAGGAUGGCAUUGGGUUUUUCUGAUCACAUCACCAGACAUUAAUUUACAUUUGCUCUUCAGAGAAACUCCCUACCAUCAUCUGGGUCAUUGCUCCCUACCACGUCUGGGUCAUUGCAUCGUUACCUGGGGCGGCCGUGAAGUAGUCAGCAGCCGUGACCUAGUCAGCAGGCGUUUAGAGGAAAGCCUGGAUUCUCUUCCCCCUGGCUUGGCUGGUUCAGGAGGCGGAGGCUGCUGCAGGGCCUGGAAAGGAGUAAGACAGCACACAGUGGGUGCUAGGUCAUUUGUGUUGGAUGAAAGAGAAUUGGUACACAGACUGGACGGUGUCUCAGAUUCGCUGGGGUUUACGAGUCCAGAAAUCCAUGAGUCCAAGGAGGUGGGAAGAGAGAAUAAGGGAAGGGAGACCGGAAGGUGGGAGAGAAGGGGAAAUCCAGGCAGCCGGAUGAGAGAUAAUUUUAGAGUAAGCAACCAACAAAAUAUAAUAUUCAUUAUGUACCCAGAUUGAACUACUAUGGUGUUAAAAGUUGUCAACCAAACACCAAAAUUAGCAUAUCUAAAAAUCAUCAAGACGGUAAUGCAUAGUUAAAAGAACAGAUGUAAGGCAGAAAACUCCUCCAGUUCUUCAGUGAGGUUAUUUCAUGUAUGUCUUGAUUAUUUCUGUCUUUGUUGCCACACGGUCAUUUUGGAGCCAGAUUCAGUGGUGUCAGGAGGUUGUGGAAAGCACUCAGCGGACGACUUCUUUCCCGCCCUCCCCAGGCUGCCCAGGCCUCCUCAGGUGUGGGAGGGUUCCCGAGACCCCUCUGCGCCCUUCCUUCUCUUCAUUAUUAUGAUGCCUUAUGGGUAAAGUACAGUACUGGGAAAAGUUUCUCUUUAUGUCCCCAACUAUUCCUCUCUUCUAAUUGCCAAUAAAACUACAUCUCACGGCUUUUAAAAAAAUUCAGUUUAGCUCAUAACCUUGUCUUAGACAAGGGGUGUUAAGUUAAAUUUCGCGUAAGCAGUCCUGCCGCAGUUCCUGCGCGGUGGGAAAGCUCGGCACUGCUCUGCUCAUGCCUGUUUGCGGUGGGAAAGCUCGGCACUGCUUUGCUCAUGCCUGUUUUCUGGGUUUUCAGCGUGUGCGCUCAUCUGCUUUCUCUCUAAUUUGAGGCCGAGACUAUUUCCAAAUGGCAUACCCCUGUAAUUCCGUUUUUAGCUUAGAAUUCAAUGAAGUCUUUGCUGUCUCUUGUUUCCUAUUUUAUAAUAUUUUAUCUUGCUUUCUUGUUUAUGGUAACAUAUCACUAUCAGAGUAAUCAUGGAUUUCCAGUUUUUCAGGUUAAAGCUGACUGUGCCCCACCCAUCUCAAGCAAAUGAGCGGGCAGUUUAUUUUAAGAGCCCACAGGAAGAAAAAACAACAAAAUCUGUAACCUGCUUUUUAGACUUUUGCUGUGUGUCUCUUAAGACUGGACCUUUAUUUAUUUAUUUAUUUUUUAAAUUAAGGGACUGGGCAAUCUCAGUGUCUUAGCAGCCACAUUUAAAUGUCGAUCAUUGUGAUGGAAGGUAUCUUUUGCCUAGAAAGCUAACACCUGUCUACUUGUGUUAUUUCUUUCGGGGAAUUUCAGUAGUAAUGUAUCAUUCAUCUAGUGGUUAGAUUUCAGCAAUGAGAACAUUCUGAAGCAGCUGAGAAAGCCCUAAGAAAAUAACUGUCAGAAUGCUCAUGAGCUUCUCUCUGUUGGAGAAGAAUCAAGCCAUUUCCUCCUUUUCCAGGCAUAGAGGAUAGUUACCCUUUUUGCCAUUUUACAAGGACAAAGUGGAGAAGUUCGUCAUGCAGCUGUGGGCGCAGGCUAGCGUGCGGGGCUUGCGGAAGCAGACAAGUGGUGAAAUGGUGGGCUCUGCUAAGCCCUGGGGUGGGAGUAGGAGCAGAAGCCAGAGCCUGGGGCCUCCGAGCCGGCAGGGUCAGUGAGGAGCAGGCCCAGCCUCAUGCGCUUUGAGGUCUUUGAGAGCCUCAGACACCAACCUGGUAGAAGAGGCAUUUGGAGGGAUGCCUUCCAUACCCCAAGACCCUGGGAAAGGAGAGUGGGGAGUCAGAUUUGGGGUGGUUGGGAGGCCUGAGUUGAUUGCCAGCAGUUGCCAGAUACCAUGCCCCAUUGUAUAUAUACUUCCCUCGUUCUUCAAAUAGCUGCUGCUGUUUACUCAGAUGUUGGUAUCUAUUCAGUGCCUGCCUUGUGGCAGUGUUCUAGGGGCUGGGGAUACCACAGUGACAAAACCUAGUCCCUGCUUUCAUAAGGCUUACCUUCCAGUGAAGUUUAAUCCCAGAGACAGCAGACCAACCAUCCACAUGGGGGUGCUGCCGUUUAUUAUAGGGAUGAACAGCAGUACAAGGGAAUUCAAAAUAAUGGAACAUUUUUAAAUAUUGGGUUUGAAGGAGCUGGGGAUGAAUAUGCAGUGAAAUCAGUUUGGAGAGGAAUCAUCGCAGCUAUUUCUCUGGUCUUUCAGAUGCCCAGCCUGAGCCUCUUGUCCCGCAGGACAGUUGUUAAAUGUAGCAUUUCCAUUGCCCGCGGUUGAAAUGACCAGUGGCAGCCCCGAUGCCACCUUUAUUUCCUCAAGGCUGGACAAAAGAGGGGGUACAAGCGCAAGGUUCUUGACCUGACUCCAUGGGAAGGAAUCAUACAGUGCUGGAUUUUUUGAAGGUGUUCCUGCUUUUGAAUCAUCUCAUGUACUUGGUGCCAGGCUGUGGUUUUGGACAUGUUGGGUUGAGAUGGGUUCCAGACAGCUCGAUGGAGAUGCUGGAGCAGAAGGAAAAGAGGGAUGUGCAGUUGAGGAGGGGACAAGGGCCGCAGCCUGAGGUGCCAGCUGAGAGGCCAAUGACACUGCCCCGCGGAGUGUGUGCCUGGUAAGGAGAGAGGUGCCGGGGUGUUCUAGGGAGCACCAACCUUUAGGGGUGAAGAGGGGCCACCCAGAGAGCCAGAAA